UACAUAUUUUGAACAAAUUAUAAUUAUAAUAUUAUUGAUCUGGAUCAAAUAUCAGAUAUACAGGGUGUCCUAUGAUGAUCACUUGAAGUAACUUUAGUUCUAUUCAAUAUUUUUUUAAAAUAGUUAAUGGCUCUUUGUAGAGUUCUUUAGCUUUUUGGCUCCUUUUCAACAUGCAUUGUUAGUCAAACUUAAUGGUUAGGCCACUGUUGUAGGAGAGAAGU